CCUACGGGAGGCAGCAGUGGGGAAUAUUGCACAAUGGGGGGAACCCUGAUGCAGCCAUGCCGCGUGUGUGAAGAAGGCCUUCGGGUUGUAAAGCACUUUCAGUGGUGAGGAAAAGUUAGUAGUUAAUACCUGCUAACCGUGACGUUA
rnacentral:rRNA from 1 species